AUCACAGUGGCUCAGUGUCCUCCUCUGCAAUGCAUGCCUCACCAGACAUGGAGGUGAGAUGGCAAGGAUGAUAACCUGGGUGGGCAUUUGGCAUUUGUGUUGGAGGAUUAAAAACCAACAAAGCAUGCCUUUAUUGUGCAUAGGCCCUUAUGCCAGGUCCUUUGGGAACCAAAGGGAGACAAUGGUUCAGAAGUGAGUCUUCAAAAAUGCACAUAUGACCUAGUAUAUGUGCAUAUGCACAUAUGAUCUAGUAUAAACUAGACACAUUGAGAUAUUCAGCAUGCAAGUGACAUCUGCAGUAUCCACACAAAGAACACGGCAUGUGCACUGAAAGAGCUUCAUUUAAACACAGACUCCUGCCUACUAAAGAUGGAGACACAUGGUGAGUCUGUUGUCAGAGUACCCCCAUAAUCUGUGGGCAAAAAGGAAAGCCACCUUCACACAAUAAGAAAAACUGCCAUUGUGACCGAGUUCUAAAUGAUGCAGUGUUCUCUUGUUUAUGGCUCUCCGCAGGCUUUAACAUGGUGUCUCGAUAAGCAGCCCUGCCUUUCAAUACCCAACAGAUGUGAAGUCCCACCUCCUCCGGCUCAGAAGCAAUGGAGUCAGCUCAUAACGGACCAAAGCCUCAGAAACUGCAAGCACAAUGAAUAUUUCUACCUUUAAGCUGUGCCCUUGAGUGUUUUGUUUCAGGAAUGAAAUGCUGACUAGGAUACCAUUGUUCUGAGCUUUGUGUGGAAGCAAACCUAACUCAUUACCCUG
rnacentral:lncRNA from 1 species